rnacentral:rRNA from 1 species
AUGAUCCGGCGCGGCAUGCCGCCGCUGCUCGCGCUCCUGCUUGUCACCGCGGUCACCGCAGCGAGCGCGCAGCAGGAGGGCAACGUGCCGGAGCAGUACGCGGCGUCGCUCGCCACCCGCUUCGACGCGCCGGCGAGCUGGCCGUUCCCGAACCCGCGCCUGCGGGCCGCCUACGCGGCCCUCCAGGCCUGGAAGCAGACGGCCAUCUUCUCCGACCCGGCCAACUUCACCGCCAACUGGCUCGGCCCCGACGUCUGCCGCUACAACGGCGUCUACUGCGCGCCCGCCCCGUCUGCCUACGGCGCGGUGACCGUCGCCGGGAUCGACCUCAACCACGCCGACAUCGCCGGCUACCUGCCCGCCUCCCUCCCGCUGGGGCUCCCGGACCUGGCGCUGCUCCACCUCAACUCCAACCGCUUCUGCGGGGUGGUGCCCGACACCUUCCGCCGCCUGCGCCUGCUCCACGAGCUCGACCUCAGCAACAACCGCUUCGUCGGCGCCUUCCCGGAGGUGGUGCUCGCGCUGCCGUCCUUGAAGUACCUCGACCUCCGGUUCAACGACUUCGAGGGCACCAUCCCGUCCGCGCUCUUCGACCGCCCGCUCGACGCCAUCUUCCUCAACUCCAACCGCCUGCGGAACCCCAUCCCCGCCAACCUCGGCAACUCGCCGGCCUCCGUCGUCGUGCUCGCGCACAACCGGCUCGGCGGAUGCAUCCCGCCCUCCAUCGGGAAGAUGGCGGAGACGCUCAACGAGAUCGUGCUCAUCGACGACCUGCUCACCGGCUGCGUCCCGCCGCAGGUCGGCCUGCUCAAGAAGGUGACGGUGUUCGACGUCAGCGGCAACCGGCUCCAGGGGGCCCUCCCCGCGGCCAUUGGCGGGAUGGCGGCCGUCGAGGAGCUCGACGUCGCCGGGAACCUCUUCGAGGGCGCCGUGCCGGCCGCCGUCUGCGGCCUCGCCGGGCUCAAGAACUUCACCUACACCGACAACUUCAUCACCUCGCGCCCCGGCUGCGCGCAGGCCACCGCCGACGGCGCGUGGAACUGCAUCCCCGGCGCGCCCGCGCAGCGGCCGCCGGCGCAGUGCGCCGCCGCGGCCUCCCACCCGUUCGACUGCAGUAAGGCGCAAUGCCAGUUCCCGGCGUACUCUCCUGCUACUCCCAUGCCCGGUGGUGGCAAACCUUCCAGCCCGUCCUACCCGUCGCCGUCGUCCCACUCGCCUCCCAAGGGCUCCGGCACGCCGGCAUACCCGUCGCCGCAUCAGGGAUCCACCACCCCGUCCUACCCGUCGCCACCGUCAAGCUCCACUACCCCGUCAUACCACUCGCCACCCCAGGGAUCCACCACGCCAUCGCCACCAGGCUCAACCACGCCGUCGUACCCGACGCCGCCGUCCAGCUCCAGCACCCCGUCAUCCCACUCGCCGCCGCAGAGCACGCCGGGAACUCCGUCGUACCCGUCUCCUUCGUCAGGAACCCCGACGCCAGUAGGAGGCCACGCGCCGCCUCCGCCGACCUCAGCCCACAUGCCAGACGGGCGGUUCGCGCCUCCCCCGGGCUCGUACGGCCCCAACCCAUCGACGCCCCCGUCGUCGUCCACACCGCCCUCCGGCUCGACGCCACCUUCCUCCGGCAGCCAACAGCCGCCGUCCGGCCAGCACACGCCGUCGCCGCCAACAGAGUACCCCGGCUACGCGCUGCCUCCCCACUCGUCGGGGACCCCAGGCACCACGCCUCCAUCGCAGACACACCCAGGCACCCCGUCCUCGCCGUCGGGGUCAACAACGCCGUCGUCCCCCGAGCACUGCGCGCCGCCGUCCCAGGGCGGCAGCACCGGACACCCGUCGCCGACGCCGGCCGGCGCGAAUCCGCCGUUCCCGCCGGUGUACGGCAUGGCAUACGGGUCGCCGCCGCCGCCAAUGAAGCCGUACAACUAA